GGGACACGUGGUAUCCUGUCUGAAUAUGGGGGGACCAUCCUCCAAGGCUAAAUACUCCUGACUGACCGAUAGUGAACCAGUACCGUGAGGGAAAGGCGAAAAGAACCCCGGCGAGGGGAGUGAAAAAGAACCUGAAACCGUGUACGUACAAGCAGUGGGAGCACGCUUAGGCGUGUGACUGCGUACCUUUUGUAUAAUGGGUCAGCGACUUAUAUUCUGUAGCAAGGUUAACCGAAUAGGGGAGCCGAAGGGAAACCGAGUCUUAACUGGGCGUUAAGUUGCAGGGUAUAGACCCGAAACCCGGUGAUCUAGCCAUGGGCAGGUUGAAGGUUGGGUAACACUAACUGGAGGACCGAACCGACUAAUGUUGAAAAAUUAGCGGAUGACUUGUGGCUGGGGGUGAAAGGCCAAUCAAACCGGGAGAUAGCUGGUUCUCCCCGAAAGCUAUUUAGGUAGCGCCUCGUGAAUUCAUCUCCGGGGGUAGAGCACUGUUUCGGCAAGGGGGUCAUCCCGACUUACCAACCCGAUGCAAACUGCGAAUACCGGAGAAUGUUAUCACGGGAGACACACGGCGGGUGCUAACGUCCGUCGUGAAGAGGGAAACAACCCAGACCGCCAGCUAAGGUCCCAAAGUCAUGGUUAAGUGGGAAACGAUGUGGGAAGGCCCAGACAGCCAGGAUGUUGGCUUAGAAGCAGCCAUCAUUUAAAGAAAGCGUAAUAGCUCACUGGUCGAGUCGGCCUGCGCGGAAGAUGUAACGGGGCUAAACCAUGCACCGAAGCUGCGGCAGCGACGCUUAUGCGUUGUUGGGUAGGGGAGCGUUCUGUAAGCCUGCGAAGGUGUGCUGUGAGGCAUGCUGGAGGUAUCAGAAGUGCGAAUGCUGACAUAAGUAACGAUAAAGCGGGUGAAAAGCCCGCUCGCCGGAAGACCAAGGGUUCCUGUCCAACGUUAAUCGGGGCAGGGUGAGUCGACCCCUAAGGCGAGGCCGAAAGGCGUAGUCGAUGGGAAACAGGUUAAUAUUCCUGUACUUGGUGUUACUGCGAAGGGGGGACGGAGAAGGCUAUGUUGGCCGGGCGACGGUUGUCCCGGUUUAAGCGUGUAGGCUGGUUUUCCAGGCAAAUCCGGA
rnacentral:rRNA from 1 species